UACGAAGGGGGCUAGCGUUGCUCGGAAUCACUGGGCGUAAAGGGUGCGUAGGCGGGUCUUAAGUCAGGGGUGAAAUCCUGGAGCUCAACUCCAGAACUGCCUUCGAUACUGGCGAUCUUGAGUCCGGAAGAGGUGAGUGGAACUCCUAGUGUAGAGGUGGAAUUCGUAGAUAUUAGGAAGAACACCAGUGGCGAAGGCGGCUCACUGGUCCGGUACUGACGCUGAGGUGGCGAAAGCGUGGG
rnacentral:rRNA from 1 species